UACGUAGGGGGCAAGCGUUAUCCGGAAUUACUGGGUGUAAAGGGAGCGUAGACGGUGAUGUAAGUCUGGAGUGAAAGGCGGGGGCCCAACCCCCGGACUGCUCUGGAAACUAUGCGACUGGAGUGCAGGAGAGGUGAGCGGAAUUCCUAGUGUAGCGGUGAAAUGCGUAGAUAUUAGGAGGAACACCAGUGGCGAAGGCGGCUCACUGGACUGUAACUGACGUUGAGGCUCGAAAGCGUGGGGAGCAAACAGG
rnacentral:rRNA from 1 species